CACGGGGAGCUGCUGCUGCAUUCACUGUGCUCGUGAGCACAGCAGACAGUCAGGUAGUAGUAAAAUAAGCUGUUCCUUCAAAGUGUACUAGAACCUGACAGCUUACAGCCUGCCAAACGUUUUAAGGACAUGGCUUCUCAUUAGCACAAACUGAGAGUUCCCGUCCCAGCAGCGCUGAGCAGAAAGCUGGUGGAGUUAGAACUUAGGUGUGUGCUGCAUUGCCACGCAGAUGGACAUCCCUGCCUCCAGGAUGGGAAGAGCUCCUUGCAAGCAACAUUUAUGUGACCAGCUGUAUUUCAACAAUAAAUGCCCGAAAACAUGAGGGAUUCACAUCACUGCACGGCACUGAGCUGCAGAUGUGGCCAAUAUUCCGCUUGAGAUCUGACCUGUAACUAAGCCCAAUGCUAAGGCGUUGUUCAAAGCCAUCCAGAGAGGUCCAGCUUGCAGACUUCAGUGCUCCCACAGCAAUGUUUUGGAGGAUAUAAGGAACCUCCAUCAGUGGCCAACCACGUAAUGAAGCUGCCACAUCUCUAUGGGCUGUGGCCAGUAUUGCUCCUGGAGUGGACCAGAGCUGCUUCUUAGAUGUUAUUCCUGUUUUCAGCAUCCAGGAGAGGACAGUGCUGGAAUGAAGCUUGUUUUGCCAGGGGAGGUGCAGAAUGAAUAUUAGGAAACAUUUCUUCUCAGAAGGAGUGGUGCUGCAGUGUUCACAGACUGCCCAGGGAGUGGUGGGGUCACCAUCCUUGGAGGUGUCCAAGAACCAUGGAGAUGUGGCACUGAGGAAGAAAUACAAAGCAGCACCAGCAUGUGUCCUGGAUGGGUGGCCAGGGUGGACUCAGGAUCUACGCCUGCCCACUGCCUCUGCUGGAGCCAAGGAGGCUGCAGACCAGCCAGCUCCAGGCUUUUUGUCAGUACCAGUGCAAACUGUCCAUCAGGCUCCUGACAUCACUGCCAUCUUCAUUAUUCCAUAAAUGCUGCAGAAGAUUUUGCAGUGAGCCAAAUCACUUUCUCACAAGCAUUUUUCUUGGCUACUCCCACAGGCUUUAGUAGGUGUUCAUACAAGGUUUGUUCUUUCUUUCCUGAAUUAGUCCACCCAGCCAAGUAGCCAAUGGGACUUCAUUCUCAUCUCCAUUUGUGAAUGUGCCAUCUUUUGCAACUAUCGUUUUUUUCAUGGUAAAUUCAGGGCAAAUAAGUCCAACUCUUCAAAUGGUUCACAUGUUGAUUACAUUAACUCAGUUCGUUCCCUCUCGAGUGGUACCAAAUCUUGCAUCCAAACAGAGAAGCUAUCCUCAUUAUAUUGUUAUUAUUAAUAUACUUUUGUGUGUGUGUGUGUGACGUUUUCUGGACACUGAUCUUCAAAAUCUCCUUUAAUGACAAAAAAAAAAAAAAGAAGAAGAAGAAAUUUUUCAAGAGGUUCUGAAAUCAACUCUUCGGUUUCUUCAUAUGUGAUAUGUACUACAAGUGCUGUUAAGCACUUACUAUAUGAUGCAUUUUAUUGUUUAGUUACACAAGUUGGCAAACACAUACUUAAAUAUACUCAGAUCUAGAAAUCUUAUUUGGAAAAAUCCAUCAGUACUGCAGAGAAGCGGUGACCUACUUUGGGAUUUUGUGUUUUCCACAUUUUUCUGAGAAGGAAAAGAACAUAAAUGACGUUCAGAUCUUGCAGGGAAAAAACAAGGUGCCGUCCAAAGAGAUCUAGACAGGCACAAGCAGUGGUCCCAGGAGAACCUCAUGAGGUUCAACAAAUCCAUAUGCAAGGCGUUGCACUUGGGUCGUGGCAACUCUUCCAAC
ensembl:lncRNA